UUUUCCAUUCUUCUUCAACCGUGGGAAAGAACUGAAAAUGGCAGCCAUGGAUGAGCUCCAUUCAGCCAAGCUUCUAUGGCUUAUAUAGAUGAUGAAAAUUGAGACUUGGACCUAGAACGGAAAGAAAUCGAUUUAUGGACGAGUAUGUCCUUUUCACAUUUGUGGUAUCGAGGUAAGUUCAUGUGUAAAUAACGUAGCAUAAUUAUUAUUUUUAAAUUAUUGAUGUUAAAUAUAGGAUAUGCUGAUUCUUAUCAUGAAAUAUAUGCUUUGUGGUUAUUUUCGAAUAAAAUGCAAAUUAAGUGUAUUAUUUGUUAAAUAUAAAGUGCUACCGAGUAUUGGUUUCGGUAUUUUACGGAAGAUGGCAAGGA